rnacentral:rRNA from 1 species
ACGUAGGGCGCGAGCGUUGUCCGGAUUUAUUGGGCGUAAAGAGCUCGUAGGCGGCUUGUCGCGUCGUCCGUGAAAACCUGUGGCUUAACUACAGGCUUGCGGUCGAUACGGGCAGGCUAGAGUGCGGCAGGGGAGACUGGAAUUCCUGGUGUAGCGGUGAAAUGCGUAGAUAUCGGGAGGAACACCUGUGGCGAAGGCGACUACCUGGACCAGCACUGACACUGAGGCACGAAAGCGUGGGGAGCAAACAGGA